AUUGAACGCUGGCGGCAUGCUUUACACAUGCAAGUCGAACGGCAGCGCGGGCUUCGGCCUGGCGGCGAGUGGCGAACGGGUGAGUAAUACAUCGGAACGUGCCCAGUAGUGGGGGAUAGCUCGGCGAAAGCCGGAUUAAUACCGCAUACGACCUGAGGGUGAAAGUGUGGGUUCUUCGGACCUCGCGCUAUUGGAGCGGUCGAUGGCAGAUUAGAUAGUUGGUGGGGUAAAGGCCUACCAAGGCGACGAUCUGUAGCUGGUCUGAGAGGACGACCAGCCACACUGGGACUGAGACACGGCCCAGACUCCUACGGGAGGCAGCAGUGGGGAAUUUUGGACAAUGGGCGAAAGCCUAAUCCAGCAAUGCCGCGUGUGUGAUGAAGGCCUUCGGGUUGUAAAGCACUUUUGGCGGGAACGAAAAGGACUGUGCCAAUACCACGGUUCGAUGACGGUACCCGCAGAAUAAGCACCGGCUAACUACGUG
rnacentral:rRNA from 1 species